GAUGAACGCUGGCGGCGUGCUUAACACAUGCAAGUCGAACGGAAAGGCUCCUGCUUGCAGGGGUACUCGAGCGGCGAACGGGUGAGUAACACGUGGGUGAUCUGCCCUGCACUUCGGGAUAAGCCUGGGAAACUGGGUCUAAUACCGGAUAGGACGAUGGUUUGGAUGCCAUUGUGGAAAGUUUUUCGGUGUGGGAUGAGCUCGCGGCCUAUCAGCUUGUUGGUGGGGUAAUGGCCUACCAAGGCGUCGACGGGUAGCCGGCCUGAGAGGGUGUACGGCCACAAUGGGACUGAGAUACGGACCAGACUGCUACGGGAGGCAGCAGUGGGGAAUAUUGCACAAUGGGCGCAAGCCUGAUGCAGCGGCGCCGCGUGGGGGAUGACGGCCUUCGGGUUGUAAACUCCUUUCGCUAGGGACGAAGCGCAAGUGACGGUACCUGGAGAAGAAGCACCGGCUAACUACGUG
rnacentral:rRNA from 1 species